AUUGAACGUUGGCUGCAGGUUUAACACCUCCAUGUCUAGCGAGCGGCGGACGGGUGAGUCAUGUCUGGGAUACUGCCUGAUGGAGGGGGAUAACUACUGGAAACGGUAGCUAAUACAGAAUACCAUCAGAUGUGCCCAGAUGGGAUUAGCAAGUAGGUGGGGUAAUGGCUCACCUAGGCGACGAUCCCUAGCUGGUCUGAGAGGAUGACCAGUCACACUGGAACGUAGACACGGUCCUGUCUCCUACGUGAGGCAGCAGUGGUGAAUAUUGCACAAUGGGCGCAAGCCUGAUGCAGCCAGGCCGGGUGUGUGAAGAAGGCCUUCGGGUUGUAAAGCACUUUCAGCGAGUGGGCGUUACUCGCAGAAGGAGGACCGGCUAACUCCAUGCCAGCAGCCGCGGUAAUAC
rnacentral:rRNA from 1 species